UACAAGUUGGACCUGCGUUGUAUUAGCUAGUUGGUGGGGUAACGGCUCACCAAGGCGACGAUACAUAGCCGACCUGAGAGGGUGAUCGGCCACACUGGGACUGAGACACGGCCCAUACUCCUACGGGAGGCAGCAGUAGGGAAUCUUCGGCAAUGGGGGGAACCCUGACCGAGCAACGCCGCGUGAGGAAGAA
rnacentral:rRNA from 12 species